GAUGAAUGCUGGCGGCGUGCCUAAUACAUGCAAGUCGAGCGGAAAGGCCCUUCGGGGUACUCGAGCGGCGGACGGCUGAGUAACGCGUGGGAACAUACCCCAAAGUGAGGGAUAACCGCCCGAAAGGGUGGCUAAUACCGCAUAUGGUCUUCGGAUUAAAGGAUUUAUCCGCUUUGGGAGUGGCCUGCGUAUGAUUAGAUAGUUGGUGAGGUAAUGGCUCACCAAGUCUACGAUCAUUAACUGGUCUGAGAGGAUGAUCAGUCAGACUGGAACUGAGACACGGUCCAGACUCCUACGGGAGGCAGCAGUAAGGAAUCUUCCACAAUGGGCGAAAGCCUGAUGGAGCAACGCCGCGUGCAGGAUGAAGGCCUUCGGGUUGUAAACUGCUUUAUAAGUGAAGAAUAUGACGGUAACUUAUGAAUAAGCACCGGCUAACUACGUGCCAGCCGCCGCCGUA
rnacentral:rRNA from 1 species